GACGAACGCUGGCGGCGUGCUUAACACAUGCAAGUCGAGCGGUAAGGCCCUUUCGGGGGUACACGAACGGCGAACGGGUGAGUAACACGUGGGUGACCUGCCCUCAGCUCUGGGAUAAGUCCGGGAAACUGGGUCUAAUACCGGAUAUGACUCCAUGACGCAUGUUGUGGGGUGGAAAGCCUUGUGCGGCUGAGGAUGGGCCCGCGGCCUAUCAGCUUGUUGGUGGGGUGAUGGCCACCAAGGCGACGACGGGUAGCCGGCCUGAGAGGGCGACCGGCCACACUGGGACUGAGAUACGGCCCAGACUCCUACGGGAGGCAGCAGUGGGGAAUCUUGCGCAAUGGGCGAAAGGCUGACGCGGCAACGCCGCGUGGGGAUGACGGCC
rnacentral:rRNA from 1 species